rnacentral:misc_RNA from 1 species
GAUGAAGAACGUAGCGAAAUGCGAUAAGUAAUGUGAAUUGCAGAAUUCAGUGAAUCAUCGAAUCUUUGAACGCAUCUUGCGCUCCUUGGUAUUCCGAGGAGCAUGCCUGUUUGAGUGUCAUUUAACUUCUCAACCAGACAUCAGAUUAUCUUUUGAUGCUUGGCUUGGAUCUGGGGGUUGUUUGCAGGCCUUCUUGUUCAAGGAGGUCGGCUCCCCUGAAAUGUAUUAGUGGUAUCUGAGGCUAUUGCUAUUAGGUGUGAUAAUUAUCUAUGUCUUUUGGCAUGCCCCAUGAACAGAUUACACUGCUUCCAACAAAAAAAAAACAAUUUUGAUGAAUUUGACCUCAAAUCAGGUAGGACUACCCGCUGAACUUAAGCAUAUCAAUAAGCGGAGGA